rnacentral:rRNA from 1 species
GGGGGAAAGAGGUUAUGAGAGAAAGGGUAGACCUCCCCCCUUGUGUAUUAUUACUUUGUUGCUUUGGCGAGCUGCCUUCCGUUUUUGUAUGCUCGCCAGAGAAUACCAAAACUCUUUUUAUUAAUGUCGUCUGAGUACUAUAUAAUAGUUAAAACUUUCAACAACGGAUCUCUUGGUUCUGGCAUCGAUGAAGAACGCAGCGAAAUGCGAUAAGUAAUGUGAAUUGCAGAAUUCAGUGAAUCAUCGAAUCUUUGAACGCACAUUGCGCCCCUUGGUAUUCCGGGGGGCAUGCCUGUUCGAGCGUCAUUUCAACCCUCAAGCUUAGCUUGGUAUUGAGUCUAUGUCAGUAAUGGCAGGCUCUAAAAUCAGUGGCGGCGCCGCUGGGUCCUGAACGUAGUAAUAUCUCUCGUUACAGGUUCUCGGUGUGCUUCUGCCAAAACCCAAAUUUUUCUAUGGUUGACCUCGGAUCAGGUAGGGAUACCCGCUGAACUUAAGCAUAUCAAUAAGCGGAGGAAA